rnacentral:sRNA from 1 species
GUCCUCGAUUUGUUGCGGACAGAUAAAGUGGAUAUGGCUGUCAAAACCACCCGCCGUCAGAAUGCGCCCUUCGCCAGCAAUCGCUUCGGUGCCGGGGCCGACGAUAAUGUCCACACCGGGUUGCGUGUCAGGAUUGCCCGCUUUGCCGAUCUUGUGGAUGCGCCCGUUUUUCAGGCCGACAUCCGCCUUGUAAAUCCCUGAAUGGUCCACAAUCAGCGCGUUGGUGAUCACCGUAUCAACGGCCCCGUUUGCGCGGGUCACUUGGCUUUGGCCCAUGCCGUCGCGGAU